rnacentral:rRNA from 1 species
GACGAACGCUGGCGGCGCGCCUAACACAUGCAAGUCGAACGGAGCUUAGAGAGCUUGCUUUUUAAGCUUAGUGGCGAACGGGUGAGUAACGCGUGAGUAACCUGCCCUAGAGUGGGGGACAACAGUUGGAAACGACUGCUAAUACCGCAUAAGCCCACGGUACCGCAUGGCACUGAGGGAAAAGGAUUUAUUCGCUUUAGGAUGGACUCGCGUCCAAUUAGCUAGUUGGUGAGGUAACGGCCCACCAAGGCGACGAUUGGUAGCCGGACUGAGAGGUUGAACGGCCACAUUGGGACUGAGACACGGCCCAAACUCCUACGGGAGGCAGCAGUGGGGAAUAUUGCACAAUGGGGGAAACCCUGAUGCAGCGACGCCGCGUGAGCGAAGAAGUAUUUCGGUAUGUAAAGCUCUAUCAGCAGGGAAGAAAAUGACGGUA